rnacentral:lncRNA from 1 species
UUUUAUUGCUUAAGGUAGAUCAUAAGUAAAUCUUUUUUGAGACAGAAUUUUCUUAUACUUAGCCAGAAUGAAGAUUUUAAUAUGCUCUUUUCAAAAAUAUAAUAAAAAGUAGGGGUCACCGUGCUAUUUUUCAAGCUAUGAGUCGUUGAAAAUUGCCUAAAUUUGGUUAGAUUGUUAAUGGAAAAACACAAUUGUGUGCAUAAAAAAUAAUCUAUGAGAUAGAAUUUUGAAAUAAAUUGUGAAAAGAUAGGUUUUGUAAUAUGUUUUAAGAAAAUAAAAAGAAAAA